GACCAAUUAGUCUAAGGCGAGGAUUUGUGUCUUCAAAACACAGGGUGAGGGUAUCAUUGGUUG
rnacentral:tRNA from 1 species